rnacentral:rRNA from 1 species
AUUGAACGCUGGCGGCAUGCCUUACACAUGCAAGUCGAACGGUAACAGGUCUUCGGAUGCUGACGAGUGGCGAACGGGUGAGUAAUACAUCGGAACGUGCCUAGUAGUGGGGGAUAACUACUCGAAAGAGUGGCUAAUACCGCAUGAGAUCUACGGAUGAAAGCAGGGGAUCGCAAGACCUUGUGCUACUAGAGCGGCCGAUGGCAGAUUAGGUAGUUGGUGGGAUAAAAGCUUACCAAGCCGACGAUCUGUAGCUGGUCUGAGAGGACGAUCAGCCACACUGGGACUGAGACCCGGACCAGACUCCUACGGGAAGCAGCAGUGGGGAAUUUUGGACAAUGGGCGCAAGCCUGAUCCAGCAAUGCCGCGUGCAGGAUGAAGGCCUUCGGGUUGUAAACUGCUUUUGUACGGAACGAAAAGCCCCGGGUUAAUACCCUGGGGUCAUGACGGUACCGUAAGAAUAAGCACCGGCUAACUACGUGCCAGCCGCCGCAGUAA